AGAUUAAGCUUCUAUAUUUGUCGCAAGUAUCCAUGUUUGAAGAAGUUGAUGAUUUGAGAUAAUUUGAUCACAUUUGUAAUCCAGUGAUAUAAAUGAUAUAUUUUCUUCACCUAAUGGUGUUUUUAGAUUAAUCCACUACUCAAGCAAAAGUGAGAUUAAUUUGCAUAGAGUUGAGUGAUGUCAAGUUCUCCAAGGACCUGCUUUACUAGGGGAUGCAAGUUCAUAAAGGAACUGAAGAGGGUGAGGAAGAUGACAAUGGCAGCAGAUUUUGGGAGAGCUCCUUGUGUUAAAUAUAGUGUUCAAGGAGAUGAGAUGUAUUAAGAUUUCUUGGCUUGACUAAAGUAUUGCGAAAUAACCGAUUAUGUAUUUGACUCUGUAUCUAUAUGAUUAUAUGCUCUGUAGAGCUUUAUAAAUUUUAA